AUUGAACGCUGGCGGCAGGCUUAACACAUGCAAGUCGAGCGCGCGGCGGACGGGUGAGUAAUGUCUGGGAAACUGCCCGAUGGAGGGGGAUAACUACUGGAAACUGUAUCUAAUACCGUAUACCCUCAGAUGUGCCCAGAUGGGUUUCGCUAGUGGGUGGGGUAACGGCUCACCUAGGCGACGAUCCCUAGCUGGUCUGAGAGGAUGACCAGCCACACUGGAACUGAGACACGGUCCAGACUCCUACGGGAGGCAGCAGUGGGGAAUAUUGCACAAUGGGCGCAAGCCUGAUGCAGCCAUGCCGCGUGUGUGAAGAAGGCCUUCGGGUUGUAAAGCACUUUCAGCGAGGAGGCGUUACUCGCAGAAGAAGCACCGGCUAACUCCGUGCCAGCAGCCGCGGUAAUUC
rnacentral:rRNA from 1 species